rnacentral:rRNA from 1 species
UACUGGGCGUAAAGCGUGCGCAGGCGGCUUUGCAAGACAGAGGUGAAAUCCCCGGGCUCAACCUGGGAACUGCCUUUGUGACUGCAAGGCUAGAGUACGGCAGAGGGGGAUGGAAUUCCGCGUGUAGCAGUGAAAUGCGUAGAUAUGCGGAGGAACACCGAUGGCGAAGGCAAUCCCCUGGGCCUGUACUGACGCUCAUGCACGAAAGCGUGGGGAGCAAACAGGAUUAGAUACCCUGGUAGUCAAGGGCG